rnacentral:rRNA from 1 species
CCUGUGACGUGCGGCGUUUAACGGCUGCGGUAACCUGACCGUGCAAAGGUAGCAUAAUAAUUUGCCUUCUAAUUAAAGGCCAGUAUGAAUGGAUUUACGCAAGCCCUUCUGUCUCUUUUAUAUAUUUUUAAAUUAAUCUUUAGGUGAAUAAACCUAAAUAACUUUGAAAGACAAGAAGACCCUGCAGAGCUUUACUUAUAAACUAAAAUAUUAAUAAAAUUCAUUAAACUAUUAGUUUUUCUGUUAUUAUGUUUUGUUGGGGCAACAAAGGAAUAAACCUAACUUCCUAAAUAAAUAUAAAAUUUUCAAAUUUUUUAAUUUUGACCCUUUAAAAAGCAAAUCGGCAUAAGCUACCUCAGGGAUAACAGACUAAUCUAAUUUUUGAGCCCUUAUCGGAAACUAGGUUUAGGACCUCGAUGUUGGCUUAGGGUACCCCAAGAUGGUGCAGGCGCCCUUUACGGUAGGUUUGUUCAACCUAUAAAACCCUACGUGAUCUGAGUCAGACCGGA